GGGGCUGUGGCUCAGUGGUAGAGCGCUCACCUACCACGUCUGAGGCACUGGGUUCGAUCCUCAGCACCACA
rnacentral:tRNA from 1 species